ensembl:snoRNA small nucleolar RNA SNORA29
AGUCCUGUUUUAGUACCACUUAUCUGCAUUUUAGUACAGAUGUGUGGCUAUGCUAACAGGACAGAGAAGCUGUCCGUCAGCAUCUGAAGGAGUCCAGCGGUCUUCAUUCAGCAGCUCCUAAUGAAAUGAUGGCACAAUAAGAA